CGCUGUGGGAAGGCCUGACCAGUGUGGAAUGGAGCCAUGUCAUCGUGCUGCAGCUUUAAAGAAACAGCUGUGUCUGUCUCCAAGGGGGAGAGUUCCGCAGCCUUGACCAGGGGGACAGUGAUUCAGCUGGGUGAUCAGUUUCGCCAGGACCAUCAGUGUUUACGUAGCAUGAUAUGACUCUGGCUAUCUUCAUCACAACUCCUGUUUUGCUGGCUGGGUAACCCCGGAGUCACCUCUACCCUAUAGGACACAUCAAAUCCUGAGAUAGUCACCUGAAGGUAGUAUGCCAGCCGAUGAUGCCCAGUCUGUUGA